rnacentral:rRNA from 1 species
CCUACGGGUGGCAGCAGUGAGGAAUAUUGGUCAAUGGGCGUAAGCCUGAACCAGCCAAGUCGCGUGAGGGAUGAAGGUUCUAUGGAUCGUAAACCUCUUUUAUAAGGGAAUAAAGUGUGGGACGUGUCCUGUUUUGUAUGUACCUUAUGAAUAAGGAUCGGCUAACUCCGUGCCAGCAGCCGCGGUAAUUCGGAGGAUCCGGGCGUUAUCCGGAUUUCUUGGGUUUAAAGGGUGCGUAGGCGGCCUUUUAAGUCAGGGGUGAAAGUCUGUGGCUCAACCAUGGAAUUGCCGUUGAAACUGGGAGGCUUGAGUAGGUGUGAGGCAGGCGGAAUGCGUGGUGUAGCGGUGAAAUGCUUAGAUAUCACGCAGAACCCCGAUUGCGAAGGCAGCCUGCCAAGCCAUGACUGACGCUGAUGCACGAAAGCGUGGGGAUCAAACAGGAUUAGAUACCCGUGUAGUC